rnacentral:lncRNA from 1 species
ACAUCUUCUAAAAAUGGAUAAAGGCAGCAACAUGACAAGUUUGUUUUCAGCUCACAUAAGCCUUAAGAAUUGUUUUCUUCAUUAGUGCAUGACUUUCCUUGCAAUUCUGAUUCUGGGACCCAGUCUUCUGUCAUACUGUGGCUCUGGUAACUUCAAUAUAUGUUUUCCAAAACAAAUUAUCCAAGGCAUCUGGGUGAAUCUGAAACUAAAGACAAGAGCAUAGGAAAUGACAUGUAAUCAACUAUCAUGGACCACCAUGGAAAUAGCACUUACCACUUCUACACACAUCUCAUUGGCCAGGACUCGGUCAUGUAACCUCACCUGACUUUAGGGAACACUGGAAAUGUCUCCUAGUUGUAUGCUCAGGAGAAAAAGAGGGUGGGUUUGGUAAACAGCAGGCUAGUUUUUGCUACUUAAGGAAAAGAAGAAAUUCCCAUUCUACCCUCUUUCCUCUUCCAGUGAGAAGGCAUGACAAGGACCACAGCUGAUCCGCAUUCAGUGUGCAGCAGACAUUUAGGAGAGACUUUCAUCAGUGAUUCCAGAGACGGUUUUAUUUCAGUUCCUCUCCAGAGAGUUCUCUUAACAGGGAGAGCCCUCAUAUACCACAUAAGAAUUCCAGCAACCCUGCAGCUAUCCUGAAGCUGCCAUGCUGGAAAGGCCAACUGGGAGACCACAUAGAGACUGAGAGAGACUUCCAAGGACUCCAGCUAAUCCAGGACCCCAGCAGUUUGAAUCUCCCAGCAAUGCCACCAUACAGGAGAGGGAGCAAAUACUCAGAAGAUUCAAGCACCAGCUGCAUGGGUUGAUACCUACAUGAAAGGCAUUGCAUAAGAGUCCAGCCAACUCCCAGAAAUGUGAGAAAUAGUAAUGAAAUGAAUACUGUUGUUUAAGACCCCUGCGGAAUAGGGCAACUUGUUAUUCAGCAAUAGGUCACUGGAAAACCUUCUGAUACCUGUAAGUGAAGUGUUGCUCUAACAGAAUCUAAGACAUGAGGCAGUGGCUUUGGGACUAAGUAACUAAGGGACUUUGGGAUUAAGCGAUGAUGCAAACAUUGAAAAAACUUUAGAAAAACAGUGGGAGCUUAAUGAACCCCAAAGAGAUCAUCAGGAAAGACUUAAAAGGAAGUGAGAGUAAGGCAAUUAGGAGUUGGAAGAAAGGAGACUUUCUUAAAGAGUGGUAGACAGUUUAACGUCACUAAAUCCAGCUGUAAGGUGGAAAAUAGGCAAUCUACCUCAUGCUUUGGAUGAUCCAGUCAAGAUUUCUAGGUGGAAUGUUGGUAGUGCUGUGUGGCUUCUUCUUAUUAAACAUAGUAAAAUGUGAAAGGAGAUAGAAAAUCUAAAUAAAGAACUGUUAAAUAUAAGAGAGCUAGGACCUGCCAGGUUUUGAAAUAAAACUUUUUCUCAUGCCCAGCCCCACCAGUGGCCAAACAAUGCUGAAAUUCAGAAAUGACUUCUGGAAAGAAGACAAAUUUAUAAUUUUAGAAAAAUAUGAUGUAAGGGAGAAGCUAAGGGUAUCAAAAUAAAACACUUUGUUAAGUCCACAGAUCAAUUUAAGGUGUUGCCUAAUAGACCCUUUCAACAGACAGAAAUCCUUCUAAAGAUCUUGAGGGCAUGACUUGAAGAUUCUAUUCUUUAAACAACAGUUUUUCUGAGAACAUUAAGAUCAUUGUCCCACAGUGUUCCCCAAGGGAGUUCAUAGCACAGAAAGAAUUAUCUUGAAGAAAUUGUGGAGUGGCUUGGAUCUAAUGAAGUGAAUUAUAAAUUGAUUCAUUGAAAACCCAGAAUGUUUUUAAAGGAAUUAUAUUAGCUUACACUGAAAGGGCUAUCAAAACUAAGAAAAUACAAAGAGAUAUCAGAAUCCUUAGAUUCUACAGGUGGGAAGCAGGCUGAAAAACUACAAAGUGGAGUACAUGUGCUACAUUUUUUCAGAGCUAUAUGCUAUGGGAAUGAUUUCCAGACAUUAGAACUGAGCUCUGAUCAACAACUGACAACUUCCUUUCAGAUACCUGUUGGCCAUGAGUAUGCCUCUUUGGAGAAAUGUCUGUUUGGGUCCUCUGUUCAUUUUAAAAAAUUUUCAUUGAAGUAUUUGGGGUUGUUUGGUUGGUUUUGCUACUGAGUUAUAGGAAUUUCAUAUAUAUUUUGAAAAUUAAGCUCCUUCUCAGAUAUAUGAUUUGAAAACAUUUUCUCCCUUUCUGUAUGUUGCCUUUUUAUUCUGGUAACUCUUUUCUUUGCUAUACAGAACAUUCUGAAUUUGAUGUUGCACUUGUCUAGUUUUGUUUGUGUUGCCUAUGCUUUUUGUGUCACAUCCAAGAAAUCCUUGCCAAGAUUAAUGUUAAGAUGCUUUUCUCCUUUUUUUUUUUUUUUUUUUUUUUUGACUGAAUCUCACUCUGUCACCCAGGCUGGAAUGUAGUGGUGCAAUCUCGGCUCCCUGCAAACUCUGCCUCCCGGGUUCAGGUGAUUCUUGUGCCUCAGCCUCCCAAGUAACUGGGAUUACAGGCUCCCGCCAAUACACCCGGCUAUUUUUUCUAUUUUUAAUAGAGACAGGGUUUCACCAUGUUGACAAGCUGGUCUCGAACUGCUGAUCUCAAGUGAUCCACCCAUCUCGGCCUCCCAAAGUGUUGGGAUUACAGGCGUGAGCCACAGCCCCUGGCCUCCUGUAGGUUUUUUGUUUUUUUGUUUUAGGUUUUACAGUUUCAGGUCUUGCAUUUAAGUCUUUAAAACAUUUUGAGUUGGUUUUUGUGUAUAGUAUAAUGUGAUGGUUCAAUUUUAUUUUUUUACAUGAGGAUAUACAGUGUUCCCAGCACUAUUUGUUAGAGACUAUCCAUUCUCCAUUGUAUAUUCUUGGUACCUUCAUCAAAAAGGUACCAAGGCCAAAUUGUAUAUGCAUGGAUUUAUUUCUGGACUCCCUGUUCUGUUCCAUGCAUCUACAUGUCUGUCUUUACGCCAGUAUCAGACUAAUUUCUGGAGCUUUUAAUAUAUUUUGAAAUCAGAAAUUUCAGGGAGAUGAAAGUCAAAACCACAAUGACAUAUUACCUCACACCUGUUAGUAUGGCUAAUUUCAAAAUAAGAAACAGAAGUUAACAAGUGUUGGUGCAGAUGUGGAAAUUUUGGAACCCUCAUACGCUGUUGAUGGGAACGCAAAAUGGUAUAGCCACUAAGGAAAACAGUGAUAAAGUUUCUCAAAAAUUAAAAAUAGAACUACCAUAUGAUCUAAUAAUCUUCCAUCUGGUUACAUAUUCCAAAGAAUUGAAAUCAGGAUCUUGAAGAGAUAUCUGAACUCCCAUAUUCAUUGCAGCAUUAUUCACAAGAAUCAAGAUAUGGAAAUAACCCAUGUCCACUGACAGACGAAUAGAUGAGGGAAAUGUGGCAUACAUACACAAUGGAAUAUUAUUCAGCCUUAAAAAAGGUAAGAAAUCCUGAAUCCUGUUAUUUCUGACAACAUGCAACUGCAAGACAUUAUGGUAAGUGAAAUAAAAGAGUCACAGAAGGACAAAUACUUAAGAUUCCACUUUUAUAAGAUGUGUAUAAUAGUAAAACUUACAGAAAUAAGAAUACAGUAGUGGUUGCCAGGGAUUAAGGGGAUGGAGAAAACAGGAAUUAGUUUUUCAAUGGGUUUAAAAUCUUAACUAGAUGAAGAAGUUCUAGAGAUAUGCUGUACAAC